AUUGAACGCUGGCGGCAGGCUUAACACGUGCAAGUCGAGCGGGGUGAUGGUGCUUGCACUAUCACUCAGCGGCGGACGGGUGAGUAAUGCUCAGGAAUCUGCCUAUGCGUGGGGGACAACAUAUCGCAAGGGAUGCUAAUACCGCAUACGACAUACGGGAGAAAGCAGGGGAUCGCUUGUGAACUUGUGCUAAUAGAUGAGCCUACGUCGGAUGAGCUAGUUGGUGGGGUAAAGGCCUACCAAGGCGACGGUCUGUAGCGGGUCUGAGAGGAUGAGCCGCCACACUGGGACGGAGGCACGGCCCAGACUCCUACGGGAGGCAGCAGUGGGGAAUAUUGGACAAUGGGGGGAACCCUGAUCCAGCCAUGCCGCGUGUGUGAAGAAGGCCUUAUGGUUGUAAAGCACUUUAAGCGAGGAGGAGGCUCUUUUGGUUAAUACCCAAGAUGAGUGGACGUUACUCGCAGAAUAAGCACCGGCUAACUCUGUGCCAGCCGCCGCCGUAA
rnacentral:rRNA from 1 species